AACGAACGCUGGCGGCAGGCUUAACACAUGCAAGUCGAGCGCCCUGCAAGGGGAGCGGCACACGGGUGAGUAACGCGUGGGAAUCUACCGAGCCCUGCGGAAUAGCUCCGGGAAACUGGAAUUAAUACCGCAUACGCCCUACGGGGGAAAGAUUUAUCGGGGUUUGAUGAGCCCGCGUUGGAUUAGCUAGUUGGUGGGGUAAAGGCCUACAAAGGCGACGAUCCAUAGCUGGUCUGAGAGGAUGAUCAGCCACAUUGGGACUGAGACACCGCCCAAACUACUACGGGGGGCAGCAGUGGGGAAUAUUGGACAAUGGGCGCAAGCCUGAUCCAGCCAUGCCGCGUGAGGGAUGAAGGCCCUAGGGUUGUAAAGCUCUUUCAACGGUGAAGAUAAUGACGGUAACCGUAGAAGAAGCCCCGGCUAACUUCGUGCCAGCCGCCGCCGUAA
rnacentral:rRNA from 1 species